CUGAAAACAGGCUACUGUACCUCCCGAGUUAGCCUUCUAAAAGCCCUGUCUGCACGGGGGAAGGUGGAGUGGAAGACAAUGCCUGCAUUUAUGGUUAACUAUAAGUGCUACACUAGGAAGAUGAUGGUAUUCAGAUACACACAAAUAAUUUGAUUCAGACAGAUUGGAUACAAGAUUUCAACCAGCAUAAGGAGAACAGAUGAAAACGAGAAGUGAUAACUGGCAGUGCGUAAAAUACUGGGAAAAGAAAUCACUGACCAAGCCAUGGAGACCAAAAUCAGUACUAAUUCUAUUAAUUGAAAGAUCAUUCAUUCAGUACGAAGGCCUGAUCCUGUGAAGAUUUAAAUAGGUGAGUAACUCAGGUGCUUAGGUAUUUUCAG
rnacentral:lncRNA from 1 species